rnacentral:rRNA from 1 species
AGUCGAGCGGUAGAGAGAAGCUUGCUUCUCUUGAGAGCGGCGGACGGGUGAGUAAUGCCUAGGAAUCUGCCUGGUAGUGGGGGAUAACGUUCGGAAACGGACGCUAAUACCGCAUACGUCCUACGGGAGAAAGCAGGGGACCUUCGGGCCUUGCGCUAUCAGAUGAGCCUAGGUCGGAUUAGCUAGUUGGUGAGGUAAUGGCUCACCAAGGCGACGAUCCGUAACUGGUCUGAGAGGAUGAUCAGUCACACUGGAACUGAGACACGGUCCAGACUCCUACGGGAGGCAGCAGUGGGGAAUAUUGGACAAUGGGCGAAAGCCUGAUCCAGCCAUGCCGCGUGUGUGAAGAAGGUCUUCGGAUUGUAAAGCACUUUAAGUUGGGAGGAAGGGCAGUUACCUAAUACGUGAUUGUUUUGACGUUACCGACAGAAUAAGCACCGGCUAACUCUGUGCCAGCAGCCGCGGUAAUACAGAGGGUGCAAGCGUUAAUCGGAAUUACUGGGCGUAAAGCGCGCGUAGGUGGUUAGUUAAGUUGGAUGUGAAAUCCCCGGGCUCAACCUGGGAACUGCAUUCAAAACUGACUGACUAGAGUAUGGUAGAGGGUGGUGGAAUUUCCUGUGUAGCG